rnacentral:misc_RNA from 1 species
GGAAUUUGAAGCUCUCAAAUUGAAAGUGUUCGAUUUCAUUGUCCUGCAUUUCCUUAUGCCAAAUUGUGUUGUUAGUUUCUUGCGCAGUCAUUCAUGGUAUAUGGCUAUUUGGUUGUAUGAUUUUCUUCUCCAAGCUCGAAAUGUAUAUUUUGUUUCAAAUAUAUGCCACCUUACAUGUUAUUCCUCUGUUUGAUUGGGGCCUAACACAAAAAUUUUCAAUAUUUCUUUCAAUAGUUCACUGUUCAUGUAGUCAUUUGUAUAUUCUUUGACUGGAAAGUGCUACUUAAAUUGAAUUAGAAUUUUUAGGUUUCAUUUUGGAAUUCCCUAGAUCCCGUUUGACUACUGAGUUGUUUUAUGCAAUUCCAGUAUUAUAUUUUCAGCUUAGGAAAAUUGCUAGUCUACAAUCUCAUUCUGGCAUCUCUGAUAUUAUUUCUUCCUACAGGGUUAUUCCAUGCCGACGUUCCCAACCGGUGGCAUAUAGGCUUUUUAUAGAACUUCUUAAGAGAUAUGCUUUUUCAUUAAAGGAUCAAAUUAAAUCUCCAAAUUAUGUAAAGGUCAUGAAAUCGAUAGAUG